UUUUUAUGAGAGUUUGAUCCUGGCUCAGGACGAACGCUGGCGGCGUGCCUAAUACAUGCAAGUCGAACGCUUCUUUUUCCACCGGAGCUUGCUCCACCGGAAAAAGAGGAGUGGCGAACGGGUGAGUAACACGUGGGUAACCUGCCCAUCAGAAGGGGAUAACACUUGGAAACAGGUGCUAAUACCGUAUAACAAUCAAAACCGCAUGGUUUUGAUUUGAAAGGCGCUUUCGGGUGUCGCUGAUGGAUGGACCCGCGGUGCAUUAGCUAGUUGGUGAGGUAACGGCUCACCAAGGCCACGAUGCAUAGCCGACCUGAGAGGGUGAUCGGCCACAUUGGGACUGAGACACGGCCCAAACUCCUACGGGAGGCAGCAGUAGGGAAUCUUCGGCAAUGGACGAAAGUCUGACCGAGCAACGCCGCGUGAGUGAAGAAGGUUUUCGGAUCGUAAAACUCUGUUGUUAGAGAAGAACAAGGAUGAGAGUAACUGUUCAUCCCUUGACGGUAUCUAACCAGAAAGCCACGGCUAACUACGUGCCAGCAGCCGCGGUAAUACGUAGGUGGCAAGCGUUGUCCGGAUUUAUUGGGCGUAAAGCGAGCGCAGGCGGUUUCUUAAGUCUGAUGUGAAAGCCCCCGGCUCAACCGGGGAGGGUCAUUGGAAACUGGGAGACUUGAGUGCAGAAGAGGAGAGUGGAAUUCCAUGUGUAGCGGUGAAAUGCGUAGAUAUAUGGAGGAACACCAGUGGCGAAGGCGGCUCUCUGGUCUGUAACUGACGCUGAGGCUCGAAAGCGUGGGGAGCAAACAGGAUUAGAUACCCUGGUAGUCCACGCCGUAAACGAUGAGUGCUAAGUGUUGGAGGGUUUCCGCCCUUCAGUGCUGCAGCUAACGCAUUAAGCACUCCGCCUGGGGAGUACGACCGCAAGGUUGAAACUCAAAGGAAUUGACGGGGGCCCGCACAAGCGGUGGAGCAUGUGGUUUAAUUCGAAGCAACGCGAAGAACCUUACCAGGUCUUGACAUCCUUUGACCACUCUAGAGAUAGAGCUUCCCCUUCGGGGGCAAAGUGACAGGUGGUGCAUGGUUGUCGUCAGCUCGUGUCGUGAGAUGUUGGGUUAAGUCCCGCAACGAGCGCAACCCUUAUUGUUAGUUGCCAUCAUUCAGUUGGGCACUCUAGCAAGACUGCCGGUGACAAACCGGAGGAAGGUGGGGAUGACGUCAAAUCAUCAU
rnacentral:rRNA from 1 species